GAAAUGCGAUAAGUAAUGUGAAAUGCAGAAUUCCGUGAAUCAUCGAAUCUUUGAACGCACAUUGCGCCCUCUGGUAUUCCGGGGGGCAUGCCUGUCCGAGCGUCAUUGCAACCCUCAAGCCCGGCUUGUGUGAUGGGCGCGCGUCCCCUGUGGACGAGCCCGAAAGGCAGUGGAGGCGUCGCGGUUAUCCGAUCGCCUGGUGUAUGGGGCUCUGUCACGCACCACGGCCUGGACCGGCGCCCGCCGAAUUCAACUAUUUCUUAGGUUGACCUCGGAUCAGGUAGGGAUACCCGCUGAACUUAA
rnacentral:misc_RNA from 1 species